rnacentral:lncRNA from 1 species
GUUGUUUUCUUGUCUGUGAAAAAAUCCAGAAAAAACAUCUGGAUCUUUAUCUGACAACAAUCAGAAGGAGAAAUGGAAAGCAGAAAAAAAGUCAGUGUAAUUGGAUGGCUGAAUGUGUAACGGGAAUUCUGCCAGUACAAGACCAUCAGAACCUGAUUGAUUAUGGAUGGUUUUUGUAUUGAAAGUGUAUUGAAAGUUUUUUUCUUUUUUUGCCUUGUCAUCACUUCUCAAUAUUUGAAGUGAGAAGUGCAGUUUAACAAUACAAGCCAGUAGUAAAUGGUCUUGAGGUGUUAGAGCUUGGAUAGUAUAGGAUUCUUUUUUCUUUUUCUUUUUUUUUUUUUUUUGAAUAAGCAACAACAGCAACAAAACACAUUUUAUAGAUUUAUAGAGAUUUGACCAGGAGUAGAAGGAGACAGGCUAUUUAGAAAAAAGUACAGGAGCUCAUACACACAUUUUUUUGUGCCAAGAUAGUUCCUGAUGGCAAAGUUCUGAACCUGAUGGAUAUUUUGUGAAUGCAUGGGCCUCCUUAUUCUCAGCAAAGUCAUCAGUUAUCAUUGAACCUGAAAGCAUGACUAGACUGACCUUUGCAUUGGCACCAAAGCAAAUGAAGAAAGACACCAAAAACAUUUCUGUUGAUUGCAGCUGGUCAACAUCCACUUCUUUACAGGGAUUUGUGCAGGCAGACAGUGCUGUCUAGAAGAUGGGAAACAAAGUUAUGAACAAGAUGGUGUGUGGCAAAAAUGCAAAUUUUAUUUUAUAUUUGUGAGCAAAACCCAAGCAAUAUUGAGUAUCUGUAGUGCAUAAAAGCAUUUUGUUUGUGAAACCAGAUGGGUUUAUAGCAGAAACAAUUCUACCUCAGAGGAUAUUGAAAAUGUGAUCGGGCUGGGUACAGCAAAAUCCCAAGCACAUCUAAGUUUUGGGGUAACCUCAGGAUUCCCUUGGAGUAACUUACUGCUCAAUUUCAUGUCAGGAAAAAAACAACAAACAACUAAACAAUAAAAUGAACUUUGCGGGUUUACAUACAGUAUCAAGCCUCAUAUUCCAUCACUGUCCUGGUUUCAGCUUGGAUAGAGUUAAUUCUCUGGUAUGGUGCUGUGUUUUGGAUUUAGGAUAAAAAUAAUGUUGAUAACUUGCCAAUGUUUAGCUGAACAGUACUUUCACCCAGCCAAGGACAUUUGAGCUUCUCACACUGCCCUGCCAGUGAAGAGGCUGGGGGUGGGGUGAACAAGGAGCUGAGGGGGGGCAGAACCAGCUAACCAAACUGGCCAAAGGAGUAUUCCAUGUCAUAUGGCAUCAUGCUGAAUUGGCUAGAUUAGGGUGGGGUACUGCUCAGGGACUGGCUUGGCAUCAGUCAGCAGGUGGUGAGCAAUUGCAUUAUGCCUCAUAAGUUUUGUAUAUUCUUUUAUGAUGAUGAUGAUGACUAUUAUUGUUUUACCUUCCUUUUCUGUUCUAUUAAACUGUCUUUAUCUCUACCCAUGAAUGAGUUUUACCUUUUUCUGAUUGUUUUCCCUAUCCCUGUGGGGGAAAGUGAGUGAGUGGCUGUAUGGUGCUGAGCUGCCUGCCAGAUUAAACCACAACUACCACCGAGGCUGUUGGCAUUUUAAAAAAGCUUUAGAGCUAGGAAGGAAUAAAAGAGUCUCAAAUAAGAUACUGCACACUUAAUUUAUUUAUGAUUGCUGCCAUGCACCUUCCUAAAGAAUAAUGGGACCUAUUCAUUUGUCUGUGUGACUAAGUGAUAAAGUGUGUCUGUGAUCUGCUGGUACAGACUUGUGCUUGUUACAGCUGGCCAAGAAUAGAGGUUUUUUCUGUGUUAAACAAGAUCAUUGGUAUCCAGGAAGAUUUCACUGGAAGUUUUUCAGCACUGCAGGGAUGGAGAGGUCCCUUGGAAGCUCUUCCUGCUGCUAUGUAAGGGAAGCUGCAGAAAGAUCUUUGCCAUGUCCUUUUGUAACUCCCAUAAUCUGUAAACUUGUGUGGUCAAAGUAUAGCUAACAUGCUAGAGAGGGCUUGUGAUCUUGUGACUGGACUAGUUGCAGUUUCACAGAAGAAAACUAGCUUUAUCUCCCUAAUCCUUUUGCUGGCAGGCAGGACUUGAAAAAUGAAGUUGAGACACUGUACCUAUUUAUUGCUUAAUUUUUUUCCCAUAAAUUCUAACCUUGUGGUUAAAAAACCCCCAAACAUUCAGUAAUUCUCAGAUGUAAACAAGGAGAAAAAUAAUACUCCAGAAAGCAAGAGCUUGUAAGUAUCCAAACCCUAAAUAUGUUAACACAGCUGUAUAUCAUGUGACCCAUCUCAGUUCUGACACAAAAAUAUGUAAAAUGUUUGAAAAUGUCCAUAGUAUUGUGAUUUUUUUAUGAUCUCCAAGUGGAACAAGAAUAAUACAACGGUUAAAAAUCCAAAUGGAAUGAAUGAACAGUUGUGCUGAAAUUACAUAAACUACCCUUUUUCUUUGGUAAUAUUUAAAAACUUCUACUAAAGCCCUGCCAUCAUAAUUCUGUGCAAGGUAGAGGCCCUGAACAAGAAGCAUUAUAUCUUGGUAUAGUAAAUAACCUGAUUACUCUUGCUUAUAACUCUGAUAUCUUGUCUGUCUUUACCUGGUAUAUUCUGAGCGUAGUUCAGUGAGUGAAUCUGUGAAUCUGGUCAACGGCUGAAGUCUUGUAUUGGCAGGUGUAAGCUCUGGCCCUGGCUGUAGCUGAUUACCUGCACUAGGCAAAGCAGAGGUGAGAGUACCAGUUGCACUCAAACAAUUUAGGAAUCCAAAUUCAUCCUCAAGAAGCUGAUCAGUAAAUCUUGAAUGCAUAAAGUGAAGAGAAAGGUUCACUGAAAUUCACAAAAAUAUGACAGAAGAAGAAAAGUGAUUAAAAACAUAUAAGUGGAAUUUAUUCAGUCGUAAAUGUUAUCUGUGUGCCAGGUCUUCUUUCAAAGCUAUAGGAUUUUUUUUUUCCCACAUAGUUAUUGUUUAGUAAUAAAUCUGAAAAGCUUCUACAAAUAUCUACUUGGCUCAAAGCAAUAGAUGUUAUGAAGGCUUCAACUAUAAUGACAAGUGCAGGAUGUUGUCAGUUGAUCUUGGACAAAAAAGAAAUUGAAGUGUCUUCAGUAACACUUUAAAUACAAUUUUAAUUCUAAGCAAUUUGAAAAUUAGUGUAGUUGCACUUCGUAAUUUCAAGAAAAAAUAAUACCAUUUUCACCUUUUCUUUUUCUUUUCUUCAUUUUUUUCUUUCUCAUCUCCACUACUUGCUCUCUAGGUUAAUUUUAUAUAUUUUUUUAAUCUUAAAAUGCAUUUAGAAAUAUAUCUACACUGAUUAAAUUAGGAUGUAUAUAUUUGGGGCAGGGACUGCCUUGAGUCAUCCAGUUGCUCAGCACAUGUGAGUGACUGAUAUUACCUGACAGUGUAACAAAGUACUUCUAUGUCACAUUAGAAAUCAUUACUUCUGAUAAGUAGAUUUACAAUAUGUUUUCCUACUGCUCUUACUGUCAUUAUGGCACCUCUGUAGAUGUACGAUACUUGCAAAAUGAAAGGGCCUUUCCUUCACAAACCUUUAUGAAUUCAGACACUUGAAACUAUAUUUCGGCUAGUCCUGCAGCAACUUUAUGCAUCUAAGUGGCAGUGUGCAGAAAAAGGCAUGCAAUGUGGAAGUGAAGGGGAAUGGCCUGAAGGCUGCUGUGAGAUUUUCUCCAGGACUCUUCUGUUAGUCAGACAGGUGGUCUCCACAGCAGAGGUCCACUGAAGCUUCACACAUAGAAUCUUUUUUAAGAGUGCAUACUGCUGUGAGUAUAUUUGUGAUAGUAUCUAAUAACUUGCAUCUAGAUGUUAGGUAUUGCUGUUUGAAGAAGUUUUCUGUUGCAAAGAAGUACAUCAUGUACUGACUAGGACAGUGAGAGAAAAAUAUGCAAAAAAAUGUCAAAAUAUGUCAAAAAAAAAAAAGUCAUUUCUGGCAUUAAGCAAAUUAUUUGGCACAAUUCAAUCCUUAUUACCAGAAAAUUUCAUCUAAGAGUGCUGCUGGUGAUAGGAAGGAGGCAAAACUCAGCAGGGUGUGUUACUCUUCUACCUCCUCUCUUGAUGAUUAAGUUGUUAAUUUGCAGUGGUGGAGACUAAGGUUUAAUUAUGUCCUCUACUCCAAAGAUCUAGAUCCUGCUAUCCUGUCUCUCAGAACAGUCCAUGAGCAAUUAGUGGCAUGAAGACUACCACAAUGUGCUCUCAGUUGUUCCUCUUCACAAUUUUUCACUUCCAAGGAACAGUUUCAUACCUUCUCUGCUAUGUGACUUUACCAGGCUUUAAAGAUGUUCUUAGGCUUGAUGGUGGCCCCUUAAGCACUUAAACAUGCAAAGUGAAUCAGUUUGAGCUCCUCAAAACCCCCCAGUACCUAGACACUUAAGCAAAGUUGGGUCAGAGUUCAAGCUAGUGCUCUGUCUGAUGAGGAUAGGAGUCUGAAUGUGGAUCCCUAAUUCCUUAGGUGAAUGUCCUAGCAAUUAUUCUUCAGAUCACUACAAAAUGGAACAGGUCAAAUAAGCCACAUCAUGCAAAGUAUGUCAGAAAUAGUUGAAAGUCACUGAGAAUACAGUGAGAAUGAUUCUCUUAUCUUGUGUUAAUGGUAGUCACUUGGGAAGGUGGAGCAAACCCUAUUACAUUUUACAUGGCAUGGAAUAAACUUUCUCAGUAAAACAUAGGAACAAAUUGUAUAUUAUGUCAAGAACAAUCCUUUUGCAACCGUUAUUUACAAGUUCCCCUGAAUUUUCUUACCUUUUUUGUUUGAAUUUGCCAAAUGUUUACGUUUUCCAAAAAUGUUUCCUCUUGAGACACAUGGAACAUUUCACAUUGAAGGAAAUAUAGUGGUCUGGGUGGAGAUGGUAUUGAUUGUCAUGUGGAAACUUGGAAAAAUUGUGAAUUUGGUUCAGUUUGAACCAACAUUCUUUUUCAAACGUUUGGCUUGGCCAAACUGAAAAACUAGUUAUCUUCACAGAUCUAAACCCUCCUUUGCAGUUGGACCCUGAUUUUACAAAGAAAAUCAUAGUAUAGUCGCUGGAGCUGUUCAUCUAUGGCACAGUGGCAUGAAAUGGAAGCCCCACUAGAAUGUAGUGGUGUCUGAAGAUUUUAGAAAUGCUGGAGUUCUGAAGAGGGAUUAAAUGAUGGCAUUCACAGUAUGCGUACUACUGGUCUUUACAAAGGCACUACUGUUUUCAUGGAUUCCCUGUCAGUUACUUGCCAAAAAGAUACCUCUGAUGCACGUCUUUAUGGGAAAUAUGAAAAAGAGGAGAGUUCUUGACUUGUUUGCAUUGUUAGCUUGGAACGGAUACAUUCCUUUCUCUAACUUUUUUCAUUUCAUGAUGUAAUGAGAACAUUUUAAACCAGGACAAACAAACAGCAAGUGCCAAGCUUUUUCCUAAAAGCUCCUUAUGAUCAAACAUACCCAUCCAUGCUUUUGAAUACCUCAUAAUUAAACAUGCCUAAAUGGAGACUUAAUUUGAACAUGUAAAUUAAUCACAUGUUAUAACAAUUGAAAUUCAUAACCGAACAUCCAUUAGCAGACAACGCUGUUCCUCAUUCUUUUGUCUGCAUGUUUAUAGUAAUCAUGCAAUAGGAUUUAUGGUGCAUAUCACCCUUUGAAAAUUAAUUCUGAAUCAACAUAGGAGAUGUGUUCCCAUUUCUAUUGUAUAGCUUUGCUCUAAAAAUGCAAAUAAUUGCAAAUUAAGCCCCAGAUGUCUAAAGAGCAGCAGGAGUAACCAUUUAUUUGAUGUAUGAUGCACAACAUGUCAUUUCUGUGUCACUCCUCAAUGGGUUAAAUGAGUUUCAUCGUUUGGAUGUUUUAGGAAAAUAAUAAACAAUGUAGCUCAUUCAAAAAACAGCUGCGUUUUUUUUUUUCUUUUCUUUAAAAACAAAAACAAAAAAAGAAGAAGACAAAGUUAUUUAAAAUUUGUUUUCAGUUGCCUGCUAAGAAAAUAAGUUUACAUAAAAGAAACCUCAUUUCCUUAUGAAAAAUUGUGAAUUUACCUUCUGAAGCAAUUUAGUAAAAGCCAAAAUUUUUCUGUGCAUUUAGCAACUACUGAAUUGCUGUGGUGGGCUAUAUUAAGUAUAGAUGGAUGAGAAUUAGGUCAGUGGAGAAAACACAAGCUGCACCCUUCAGAGCUAAACCUGCACACACAUUACCUUAAAGAUGCUUACAUAAUGAAUGUCUGUGUUUGCUUGUGUAUUUCAGUGUAUGUUUAUGACAGACCAUGAAGCUAUCCCCAACAGGCAUUUGAGAAAGACAAAUCCCCAGCAUAUUUGCAUGUCCAUUAAACAACAAUAGCACUUCUAUCAAUAAGAAAUGAAUUUAUUUGCUUGACUCCCUUGGGCUCAGAUUUCACUGUAGGGCCCAGUCUUCAAGUGGAGUUUGGUCAGUAUAGGCUCUUCAUUAACUUUACUAGGUGUUAGAUCAGGCCUUGAUAUUCUUCUCCAUCCGCUAGUGUUUACUCAGGUGACAACACUGCAUUUAGUUUUCUCGCCUAUGCAGCAGGAGUUCUUUGCAACUGAAACCCUGUGCUGCCCUUAUGGUUUAAACUCAGCUUUGUGCUCAAUGUCCUGCUUCCUAAUGUGCUACACAGCUGUCCUGUGCUCUUGGCUUCAUGCCAUCUUCAUGUUACUCCUCCCAGUAGGUCAACCGUUUUCACUCUGCUGUUCUGUUAAUGCCUUUUAUAGAACCACCUUUUUAUAGUGCUACUUGCAGGAAAUGCUUUUCCUGCAAUGUGUCUGGAUCAUUUACAGCCUAAAAUGUUACCAUAUGCAGCUUAAGCCUAAAGGACCUUAUCUUGCCCUAGUCUGUAUAGUAGCAUCAUACAGUCAGACAACACAUUGACUUGCGAGGAAUUUUUUUUUUUUUUUAAAGAAAGGGCUCUCAUCCUCUUCUACUUAAAUACCUAAAUCUGAUGAGAAACACUUGGAACACAUACAUGAGAACUUGGACUGUUCAGUUAUUAACCUGGAGCCUAGAUAAUGAGGGAGAGCUAUACUGGGACAGAGUACUAAGUGUGAAGACAGGAAAGUGUAAAAAUGCAGCAAAAUGGCUUUGUGAUAAUUAGUGGAAAGGAGGUCACAGCCUGUCUUUCUGUCCAACACAAGCCUCUUAUUUAUUAUUGUGGCAUGACAGCAUAUGGCUCUGAGUUUUUAGUGGACUACUACCAUUUCUCAGUUGUUUUUGCUUUCUCUUUUCUCACAGUAAGAUGUGACUUAAAUUCCUAAACUCAAAACCCCCAAAAAUUCAACCCACAAGCCCCAGUGGUAUUUGAAGUUUAUGUAUUCUUUAACCAAAGGCCUUUGCAUAACCAGAUACUGGUACAUUCUUUAGUGAAAUUCUUGAAGCUUUGGGCUUAACCACUGCUUCUUUCAGUGAGGUGCUUGAAAACACGUCAACUAUGUAGCUGUACUGGAGGGCUGUGUGGAUGAGGUAUGUCCUUUUUCUCAAAUUGACUAAUGUCAAGGUCCAGACUGAGGCAGGUUCUUGGCUCCAGCUUGAACAGUCCCAUGGUGAUGUCAGAAUUUUGGUGUUUAUAUUUAAACAUUUUUUGUUAUUAUCAUUAUUACAGAGAAAAGCUGCAGAUUUGGCAUGCAUUAAUCUCUUAUAGAGGUAUCUGCUGGAGUAAGCAGAGAACUUCGUGAAUUUGUAUAAGUUAUUAAUUCUGAAGUCUUUACGUAGCCUGCAGCAGUGGACUUGGGUGUAGACAGGAGAAAUUCACCAAACUGGGCAAAGAGACUUGGUUUCUGAAAGAACAGAAAGAAACAAUACAGCAACAUCUUUGCUGGAAGGAGAGAUCUAAUAGUGCUUAAAUAGACUUGAGAGAGACAGAAACUCACAAAGGGCUUACAAGGCUGGAAUUAAACAAAACUAAGUGGGAUUCAAAAAUGUACUUAGAACAAAAAAAAAAAAAAUCCUGAAAAGGAAAAGACAGUCUCCCUUUCCAUGCAAAAUCAAAAAGGAACACUAUUAAAAUGUUCUUAAAGUAUUCAGUUUCUUUUAACAACACUUAGGAUACACUGGGCAGUCCAACAUGAUCCUGUGUGUAUUGGCAAAGCAUAGUAGCCUUUUGGAUACAAAAACUUCAUCUAAGUGUGUUUCAGAUCCAUGUGUGAUAAACUUCAUUUGUUAAAUAUGGGAGGUUUAUCUACUCUUUAAAACACCAGUUGUGUUUCACUUAGUGAACCAAAAUAAUAUAAUGGCAUUAGGCUUCUUGGCUCUUAGCUGACUUCUCCAUUUUUCUCUAAAGUGUGGUGUUAAUGAGUAAUUUCAGUGUAAGGACCCUUUUGCUGAAAUAUUUUUCAAAAACUCUGAUUGCUUUUCUUCUAAAUUCUCUGUGUAAUCUUCAUUGCCUUUCAGUUUACUGUGGGAGACUGGUUGAGAGCACCUUGAAAUAAAAUCCAAGGCUGUGCCUUUUUUCCUCUAUAUUUUCGAUAGGAUUCUUGUUCAGAUAUCAUGAGUGGGAACAUGAUCAAGAAGCAUAGAGCCAGAGUCUAGAGCAAGUUAAUCUGACAGUGCUGUUCUGGGCACUGGUUUCCUUCGUGGCCUUAGGCAGAACACGUGACCUUUCCACCUCAGUGUUCUUUUCAUUAAUAUAGGGUGAUGAAAAUAAUUUAAUUCCUAUCAUCUGACACAACAUAUUUGCUACAGACAGAGGAAAUGGUAUGGAAAUAGCCUUUCUGAGGAUUGUUGAAAAUCAGAGCAUAUCCAUCACAUAUCAUUGAAUUAUUUCAAUUUUAUUUAUUUAUCUAUUUUUAAUGAAGGAACUCAGUUCUUAAUUGAAAAGGCCGAAACAUUUAAAGGUUGAAUUUGUCGUUUGGAGAGUAUUCUGAAUUUCAAGAAAACUACCCCCCCACUGUUUCAUUAUGAGAAAUAUUCUAAAGGCUUUCCAAAAGUUUUGUCUUUAUGCAGAACCACAGUCUGUUUAUUUCUUCAUGCCAAAGAUGAGGUUUGGCAGAGGAUUUAUCCCAUACCCUUGCCAACAGCUCUCCUAAGAGCACACUCAGUUAGUUUAUAUUACUACUUUUGAAAAAGGAAACAUUAAAGAAACUGUAUUUUUAAUACAGUAUAAAGGUCCUCUGAAGGCUGAAAAUGCCUCCCUCUGGCCCCACCUCCCUGCAAAGGGCUAGGGGAAGUGAGGGAAAAAGGAGUCCUACAGUCAAAAGAACUGCCUCUGUGUGAGGCCUGAGAGCUAGGACAGCUUCGCGCUAACCCUCAUUUUCCUGCAGGCUCUGGUUUUCAAAAAUUCUUUCUAAGUCUAGUUGCUCAAGUUGAGACAACCGUGUCUUCAUUUUCAGCAAGUCUGGCACUCUCAACACCUGCUGAUUAUACUGUGACUGUUUAAGGGAAGGAUUUAGAAUGCCUCCUGCCAGUCUCUCAUCCUACUGCAAGUGCACUUGGUAGAUAGAGAGGGGAGGACCCAGUGCCUUGAUCUGUCCAUCUGUCAACUCUUUGACCUUCUGAACACAACUGCAUCCCGUCUGCAGCAUCUCUGAAUGGUCGUGAAGUCUGUAGUUGUUAUGUCCACCUUCCAUUUUCUUGCUCUUAAAGUAGUGUAAGCUCUAGCUGGUGUCUGGAACACUGGCCCUAUCUCACAUACACUGAGUGACAUGACAGCUACAUUGGCUAACUUUUGACUUAAUAUGACAUUGUUCUUCCUGCAUACUGGGGAUAGUGAGACUUGAAGCAUCUUCCUAAAUAUUCAGUGGAAAUAACUGCUGUUGACUACACUGUUUCAUUUCAGCACAGAGGGUCUUUUUAACACUUCUAAAUCUUCAAUUCUGAGAUAAUAUAUAGUCAAAACAUAGAAGGCCACGGAAAUGCCUGAUUCUGUAGCUAUGUUAUGCACAGUGAGAGAGCAUUUCAGGUGAUUGUAAAAAGACUUGUGUAUUGUAAAUGUGGGGAAAAAAUGUAUAUACACAUCCAUCCAUCUGAACUCAGAUGGUAUUUUUAGAAACCAAAUAUAAAUGUCAUAGCCCUCUUCCAGCUGAAUAUUUAUCUUCUCCAGAAGUUAUCAUGUAAGUCCAUUUGUUAUCUUUAGUCAUGGGUCAAUUGUGCAUGUGCUAGGGCUGGUCAGCUAUCAAAGAGAAAGCUAAAGCAUGGAAAGUGCUAAUUUUCAUCUGAGUUCCCAAAACUAAAAUGGUAGCAUUUGAUUUUCAAAAUUUUCUUUUCUUUUCUUUAUUAAACUGCCACAUCCAGAAUUUCCUGUUCAACCACAAUACUUUUUCCUCCUAGGGGCCAAAUCAAAGAAUUUCUUUUAGGUAGCUAAAAUGUUACCAAAAUGUUAGGGAUCUUCAUGCAAAAUCUGCAGAAUCUGGUACGUGCUAAUAUGUUGUAAUAAGAUUUGAGUAACCAGUGUUGCAUUGUUAAGAUCCUUCUUUUCUUCUGUAAGUGUAUCUGUCUUAGAGAUCUGUCAGAGUUGCACCAGUGUGGGCCAAGCUACAUGGUUGGGGACCUUAAGGCUCUGCAGAGAGAGUUAUCAUUUGAGAUUCAAAGCAUUUCUAUGAUGAUAUGAAAAUAAAACUAUGCUACAAGUUCUUCAAGUAUUCCACAAGGGAGUUUUUUUAUAAUCUGCAAUUAUUUUUCAUACUGGUAGAAUAAACAUGGAAAGCUUCAGUAUGUAGAUCCUCCUGUAACUGGUCACUACUUUGCACUGAUACUCACAUGGCAAUCCUUGAAGAACUUGAUCCCUUUUUAUGCUGUAAAUAGAUAUUUUGUUUAGUUAACCUACUGAAAGAUCUGAAAGGGAAUCAAUAUGUUCUGUAAACUCAAGAGAAGGGAUUGUUUGAAUUUCUCGCUUCCUUCACAUUACAGAGCAAAAGUUUCAAUCUGUCACAUCUGCAUCAAGCCCAAAUCCUUUUAAGUUUCAUUGAAGUGUUACCUGCAAAUGUAAACUUGUAAGCACAAUCUCUUUUCCACUCUUUAUUUGGAAAACUGUGAUUCCCUGAGCUUGGAAUGAAUAAAGUCCCAUUUUGAAUAAGGUCUCAUUUCCUAUGAUAUUGGGCUGUCUACUUUUCUAACAAGGCUCAAGCUCCAAUUGGAGCUUUUCCAAUGGCUAGGAAAUUUCUAACUGUUCAGUACUGUGGAUUCCCUGAAAGCCUAGUAGCAUAUGUUUACACUGAAGCCUUUCCUUAUUAGAAGCAGUAUUAAGGUCAUUCUAUAUAUCAAUACAACUAUUUUCCUGCCUCCUGCUAGUAAUAUAAUUAUGUUUGAGGUGUCUGCUUUUAUCAGAUAUGGUUGAAAUUUGUGAUUGUGUCAAAAGUUAUUGAAGAGGUAGUAGGCAUAUGAUGAGUCAUGCAGACAAAACUCAACUGUAAGAUUUGUUUCCCUGGGAUAUCUGGCACCUGUAUUGCCAGAGAUAUCUGAACGUCUGUGGAUUUUCAUUGUCCUAUUUCUACUGUUUCUUAGAGAAGGAGAGAUAGGAGAGUUUCAUUGGAUGUAAAACAGCAUUCCCAUAGGAUAUCGGUUAUGACCAAUGGAAUAAAUUUCAUGCUGAUGUUCUGCCCAUUUCUGGGAUUGUUUUUCAUCGUGGUGGUCCUUGAAAAAUAUAUUUAUACAUACAACUGUCCUGCUGGACUGGAAAUAAGAGUAAAUUGUUUCAUUUUUGUCAUGUUUCCAAGGUCCUUUGUCAUGUCAACGGCCAAUAGGCAGGAUACAAGUGAGAUAUCAAGGCUCUUUUUACCUUCAUUUCUGUGUCUGUUUGCUGUAUUUAAAGAUGCUCCUUGAUUUUAUUACAAUAAUACUUUUCAUUUAUAAAUUUGGACCUCCUCUGAUGUGAGCCCCAAGCAUUUCCAUUUCUAAGUGCAAAAAAGUUAAUCCCUGUGUAAUUAAAAGUGGUGCCAGUUUCUAACCACACUGCCUUACCUACCCUAGUCCUUUGGAAAUGUUUUACGUGCAACAACUUUAUAUACUAAACAAGUUUGUUUAAUAAAAAUGUUGUUACGAUAACUAUAAACAACAUAUUUUUGACAUGACUAAUGUUUUCAUGAAGUUGCUUUCAUUUUCACAGGUCACUGCUUCCUUUUCCAGCCUCACAAACAGUUUUCUCAAUCAUCUGGGUGCCUCAGUGCUUGGAUCUGUGUCCUAUGAUUUGAUCUUCUUUUCAGAGUGUUCUCUCAUUUGUCUCUGUCCAUGUGUUGUUUUUCUGACACUUCUUUUUUUCUAGUGGCACUUUAUAACAAAUUUUCUCUAUGAUGAACUGUUAAAAGAAGUGAGAUAUCCAGAAAAAAAGUGGAAAAAAAAAAAAAAAAAGAAGCAACUGACCAAUAAUCUGCAUAGAAACAGGCAUAUAGUAGAGGAGCAAGAACGUUAACUGACUGAGUAUAGAAGACAGUGAUUAUAAUCCUGAAGUCAGAGAAUCUGAAUCCAAAGGAAGAGAGGAAUUCCCCAGGGAAGGGUCAGUACGCACAGAGUCUUGCUCUGGAUUACUGGUCGCUGCUACUUCACUUGGGUGGAGAACUAAGGGGUGAAGAGGAUGAGUGGCCUUUAAAAUGUCGUCUUGUGGUCAUCAAAGUGCCACGUAACCUGCUAUAUAAAGAGAUCCGAAGAUAAAGCAGAACUACCAGUUCAUGCCUCCACAACCAGUACAUCAGAAAACGUAAAAAGAGCAAGAAACCAAACAACCAAGGUAUAAACCUUAAGCCUUCAUAAUAUUGUAGCUUUGCCAAGCUGAGAGCAGACAACAUAUAAGAUGAUGCCAUUCUGACACUCUUUUCCCUCUGUCUUGGUGACUAUAGAGCUUGCAAGAGUCAGUUCUGAUUGGUUAGUAUUGUACUGAAGUAUGUGAGACUGGAAAGGUUAUUCAGGGAGAUAAUCCUUGUUUACUCUGAGCAUUACAAAAGAAAAAUAAAGUAAUACUACAAAUAGCAGGACUAAUGAAGUUCAAUUUCCUGUGCUUUUGUAUAUGUCCCAUUUUGUCCCAUGAUGGAGAGGGAAAAGGAACUGUGCAGAUUUUUUUGUGUUUCAUAUUAGGUAAGCUGCUUUAUGCAUGGUUUAUAUUUUUAUCUUAGUGGCAUCUCUUUCUCAGGGACUGUAUCAAAUGUUUGAUAUUUCAGCGCUCUCUAAAUCUCUAUCUGUCUCAUUUGGUUGAGGUUGAAAAACAGGUUAAAAAGUUACCAGGAAUAAUGUUUUUUACUGAGAUCUCUGACAUCUAUAUGAUGGCCCUCCUCUUCAUAAACACUGAUGGUCACGUGGAGGACAUGAUCUCAUAAUUCUCAUGUUCUUAGGAAAUAUGGCUAAAAAUACCACACAUUUCCGGAUGACUAAUAGGCUUUGCCCAGGCUACAGCUGUCACUGGGACAAGAAGGGAACAGAACAAAGAGAGCAUGGUCAGAAUAUGGCAUGAAACUUCCCCCUGGGCUUGUUUACAUGAGCACAAUUUGUCCUCCGGUUGCACCGUUAAUACAGAUGUUCCAUAAAAUAAAUGGUCUUAAAGAAAGGGAUAGAGAUUUCUGUUGGGUUCAAAGCAUUUGGACGCUAGCCAUGAGUGCAGAGCAACAGGCUUCAUGACCGAGGUAGAGCUAGGCACUUCUCAGUCAGCUUGCAGCAGCCAUCAUCUGUUGUGUUCCCUAUCCAGCUGGCAUGUGAAACCCGCAUGUGCGCAACAGAGCAAAAUGGCUGACAUAGCCAUGUGCUGAACAGGUGUCUUGUGGCUGUCUUGCUGGAGUGUGGACAUCACAUUUGUGCCCUGUAUUUGAGAGUAAACUGGUGCUACGUUUCUGCGUUUCUGUAAACUAGAAAUAAUGUCACCGUACUUAGUCUACCAUUAAUCUCCAGUGGCACACAAGACAAAAAGGGAAAAAUUGAUGGCAGCAGAUGACUCUGUUUUACCUUUCUGUGAAAGGUAGAAGAAACUGAGCAAAAAAGAAUUUGUGCAUCUUUCCCUAGGCACAGAUGAGCUUCCUAGAAGGUACCUGUUUGGUACAAAACAAGUUCAAAGAGAAAACAGGAGAGCAACAUCUUAGUGCCAGUAGUCUUGCUUAGGGUCUUCACAGAGCUAAAUGAUAUAUUAGAGAAGCAAAAUUUGUUCACAAAAAGAAAGUAUCAGCUUUUACAGGAGAGUCACAGGCAACUCAACUGUAAUGCAAGAGACAGAAUUAACCUGCUGUCAGUUAAAUCAAAGCACAGAGCCAUGUAACAUAAAGUACAAAAAAGUGACUUCCCCAUUAGGGUCUUACAGAGGAACGAAGAGGAUUUUUUAAUAAUGAAGGCAAGAAACAAAAGCACUAGAAAAAAAUUAGACAAGAAAUCCAUCUUAAGGUGCAUCUGUUCAACCAAAAGUACAGUUACACCUCUUGGGAAAGCUGAACAACUUGUUGUGAAUGACAGCCCUUGUAAUUAGGUGACGCAUUUCAAAUAUUUAGAUAUUUAAGUAUCCAGGAGUGAAACUAGCAUUUGAUGUUGAAAAACUUCUGGCCAUAGCUCAAUAAAAAAAUUGUUGAAGAUUAUUUUUCACUUCAGAGGCAGCUAAGGUCCAAAUGGACUAUACUUUUUUGGUUUUUGACAAUGAAGAAAUCUUUUGACCUCGGUGUUUUUGGGUAUAUACACUUAUGUAUACAAUGCAUAAGAGCAGGAUCAACAGUAUUCUCUUGGAGUUUUUGCUCCAUUUCACAUCACAAAAGCACAAUCUCACUACAUACCUGCCACACUUCCUCUGUAUGCUCCAGUCAUGCAUAUCAUAAUCGUCUUUCCAGCCUCAAAGGUAUUACUCUUCUAGGCCUGGGGUCCCCAGCACAAGAAAGGUGUGAAAGUUGAAAGAUGAUCAGAGGGCAGGAAUAGCUCUCCUGUGAAGACAGGCUGAGGGAGCUUGACUUGUUCAGCCUGGAGAAGAGAAGGCUUCAGAGAAACUUCACUGCAGCCUGCUUGAGGGGAUCUUAUAAACAGGAAGAAGACUGCCUUUUUACAUGGGUAUAUAUAUACAGGACAAGGGGGAAUGGCUUUAAACUAAAAGAGGGGAAAUUUAGGUUAGAUGUUAGGGAGAAAUUUCUCGCUCAGUGGGUGGUAAGAUGCUGGAACAGGUUGCCCUGAGAGGUUGUGGCUGCCCCAUCUCUGGAGGUGUUUGAGGCCAGUUUUGAUGCAUCAGAUGGGCAAUCUGAUGUGGUGGAUAGCAAACCUGCCCAAGGCAGGAGCAUUGGAAGAUCCCUUCCAACCUAAGCCAUUCUAAAAUUCUAUGAUCCUAUGAUAAUGAAACUGACAGAUAGGAGUGAUAGAAAGUUGUAUAGUAAUCUUUGUACCAAGUCCCACAGUCUCUGUCUUUCAUCAUCUGAAAAGCAUUCAUAGACUGCUGAUGUAUUUUUCAUGUUGUCAAAUUCUUUUCUUUAGUUUCUGAGAUCUUACAUUAGACAGCAUCUUCUGUGUCUCUGAUUUACUUCCCCUCUCCAUGGUGUAUCAGCAUUCACAGCCUCACAUCUCUUUAAUUAUGUUCUCUCACAAUAACCUUAUUGUGGCUAUAUGCUUUCAAAAUAGUUUUGUCCCUUCAUUCCUGCAGACAUAUCAACUCAAAACCACAGUUAAACUAUCAUGGCAGACACAGAUGCAAAUUCACGUCUAUGAUUCCUCCCCUCCUUUUUUUUUUUUUUUUUUUUUUUGUGUGUGUGUGUGGUGUACUGUUUUAGUUCUACGCUCACUACCAAUCUGGAGACAGUUUUUGUCUGGGUUUUGGGAAAUGGACAGGGUGUGGAAAUGUCACAGCUCUUGCUAUACAGUUUGUGGAAACACAAUGGAAAAAAAAAAAUGGGUUGAGCCUUCAAAGGGGCAAUGGAGCUUUGCUGUCCUUGUUCAGUUGGAGUAUUUAUGUUGCCUAAUAUCCGACCACUAAGUGUCUGAAUUCUUGCGACUCCUUAAGUUGCAAGAAAGAGAAAAUUGCCUCUGCAAACAGUAGUUCAUGAUACAUCCUGCUUUGAAUUCCUCUGAAGGAAUACAUUUAUUUCCAUUCAAUCUGGGGGUUGUAGGCGCCUUACUUAGGCAUGUAUGCUGCAGGCUUCAGGUCAGCUGAUGCAAAUACCUUCAUGGCAGCCUAACAGUUUUAAGAGCUUAUAGGUUCAGUUGUUUUCUUUGGCGCCUAGAGAGUUGGCUAGUCACACAAUGGAAGCCGCAUUCAUUCCACUCAUAGUGUGUCUGAGAUCCUAAGGUCACUUUUCUGUUCUGUGGUGCAAUUUGUCUGGGUGCAAAUGGUGCAACUUAUCCUUGUUAAUUGCAAAUUGUUUAGGCACAAGAAUCUGCUGUUUUGGAAUGUUGUGUAAGUUACAUAGUACAUAAGGCGUAACAAAAUGAUUACUGAUAAUAAUAGAAACACUGUUCCCAUUAAAUGCCAGAAAACCAGAUAUCAUAAUUAUAAAAAAAUGUAGAAGAACUUUUAAUUGAAAAUGAAGAACUGACAUGGUAUGAAAAAUGUAUGUAGCAGCAAUUCUUUGUGAUGUUUUGGAUGUUUUUGGGGAUAUAAGAAAUGUAAACUGAGAGUCUGCUGUUCUGUAAAUUGAUGGGUGAGGAGAAAAAACAUGGAACGGUAUCUCUGAAAUUCAGGAAAAGUGGUAAAGAGUUCUUUGAUCUAACUUCAACCUGCUUCAGUAAUUGUGUAUCAAUGUCACUCUAGUCAUACAGUAGGGCCUGAGUAAGUGGAAGGAAAUAAAAUAAUAAUGACGC